GGCUUUGUGGUAUAAACGGUUAAUGUGCUUGGCUGCUAACUGAAAGAUGGAGGUUUGAGUCUACCCAAAGUUA
rnacentral:tRNA from 1 species